rnacentral:rRNA from 1 species
UACGUAGGGUGCAAGCGUUGUCCGGAAUUAUUGGGCGUAAAGAGCUCGUAGGCGGCUUGUCACGUCGACUGUGAAAACCCGGGGCUCAACUCCGGGCCUGCAGUCGAUACGGGCUGGCUUGAGUGCGGUAGGGGAGACUGGAAUUCCUGGUGUAGCGGUGAAAUGCGCAGAUAUCAGGAGGAACACCGGUGGCGAAGGCGGUUGCCUGGAGCUUUGCUGACGCUGAGGCGCGAAAGCGUGGGGAGCGAUCCGG